GGGAGGCAGCAGUGGGGAAUAUUGGACAAUGGGCGAAAGCCUGAUCCAGCCAUGCCGCGUGUGUGAAGAAGGCCUUUUGGUUGUAAAGCACUUUAAGCGAGGAGGAGGCUACUNAGAUUAAUACUCUNGGAUAGUGGACGUUACUCGCAGAAUAAGCACCGGCUAACUCUGUGCCAGCAGCCGCGGUAAUACAGAGGGUGCGAGCGUUAAUCGGAUUUACUGGGCGUAAAGCGUGCGUAGGCGGCUUUUUAAGUCGGAUGUGAAAUCCCUGAGCUUAACUUAGGAAUUGCAUUCGAUACUGGGAAGCUAGAGUAUGGGAGAGGAUGGUAGAAUUCCAGGUGUAGCGGUGAAAUGCGUAGAGAUCUGGAGGAAUACCGAUGGCGAAGGCAGCCAUCUGGCCUAAUACUGACGCUGAGGUACGAAAGCAUGGGGAGCAAACAGGAUUAGAUACCCUGGUAGU
rnacentral:rRNA from 1 species